CCUACGGGAGACAGCAGUAGGGAAUAUUGCUCAAUGGGGGAAACCCUGAAGCAGCAACGCAGCGUGGAGGAUGACGGCUUUAGGAUUGUAAACUCCUUUUGUUAGAGAAGUUUAUGACGGUAUCUAACGAAUAUGCACCGGCUAACUUCGUGCCAGCAGCCGCGGUAAUACGGAGGGUGCAAGCGUUACUCGGAAUCACUGGGCGUAAAGAGUGCGUAGGCGGGGUAAUAAGUCAGAUGUGAAAUCCUGUAGCUUAACUACAGAACUGCAUUUGAAACUGUUACUCUGGAGUGUGGGUGAGGUAGGUGGAAUUCUUGGUGUAGGAGUAAAAUCCGUAGAGAUCAAGAAGAAUACUCAUUGCGAAGGCGACCUGCUAAAACAUUACUGACGCUGAUGCACGAAAGCGUGGGGAGCAAACAGGAUUAGAUACCCGUGUAGUC
rnacentral:rRNA from 1 species